rnacentral:lncRNA from 1 species
AAAACCUGUGUGACUGACAUUAAGAUCAUUAAAUAUUUGCAUACACCAAAUAUAGUUGACCUAUGGCAUAUAGUAUUAGAUAAAAAGACCAAAACUCAAAAACUUAACUUUGACCACUGAACCAUGAAAAUGAGGUCAAGGUCACAUGACAUCUGCCCGCUAGACAUGUACACCUUACAAUCAUUCCAUACAACAAAUAUAGUAGACCUAUUGCAUAUAGUAUGAGAACAACAGACCAAAACACAAAAACUUAACUAUAACCACUGAACCAUGAAAAUGAGGUCAAGGUCAGAUGACACCUGCCAGUUGGACAUGUACACCUUACAGUCCUUCCAUACACCGAAUAUACUAGCCCUAUUGCUUAUAGUAUCUGAGAUAUGGACUUGACCACCAAAACUUAACCUUGUUCACUGAUCCAUGAAAUGAGGUCGAGGUCAAGUGAAAACUGUCUGACAGACAUUUAGGACCUUGCAAGUACGCACAUAUCAAAUAUAGUUAUCCUAUUACUUAUAAUAAGAGAGAAUUCAACAUUACAAAAAAUUUGAACUUUUUUUUCAAGUGUUC